UCCUGGUGGCUCAGAUGGUAAAGCGUCUGCCUACAAUGCGGGAGACCCGGGUUCAAUCCCUGGGUCGGGAA
rnacentral:tRNA from 1 species